rnacentral:rRNA from 1 species
AGAGCGAACGCUGGCGGCAGGCCUAACACAUGCAAGUCGAGCGCCCGUAGCAAUACGGGAGCGGCAGACGGGAUAGUAACACGUGGGAACGCGCCCUUCGGUUCGGAAUAACUCAGGGAAACUUGAGCUAAUACCGGAUACGCCCUUACGGGGAAAGAUUUAUUGCCGAAGGAACGGCCCGCGUCCGAUUAGCUAGUUGGUGAGGUAAUGGCUCACCAAGGCGACGAUCGGUAGCUGGUCUGAGAGGAUGACCAGCAUCACUGGGACUGAGACACGGCCCAGACUCCUACGGGAGGCAGCAGUGGGGAAUAUGGACAAUGGCGCAAGCCUGAUCCAGCCAUGCCGCGUGGAUGAUGAAGGCCUUAGGGUUGUAAAGUCCUUUUAACGGGGAAGAUAAUGACGGUACCCGUAGAAUAAGCCCGGCUAACUUCGUGCCAGCAGCCGC